rnacentral:rRNA from 1 species
AACGGCCGCAGUACUUUGACUGUGCUAAGGUAGCAAAAUAAAUUGGCUUUUAAUUUAAGUCGAGUAUGAAUGGCGUCAUGGGUGUAAGCUGUCUCAGUUAAUUAUUUUUAUGAAUUUAACCUGUAGGUGAAAACGCCUACGAAUAAAUAUUAGACGAGAAGACCCUUAGAGUUUUUAAUAUGUAGUACUGUAUUAUUCAUUCUUUUUUGUUGGGGCGACAAAGUAUCAUAUAAAGCAUACUUAAUUAAUAAAGACAAGUCUUCCUUAAAAAUGAGUAUAACUACCUAAGGGAUAACAGCAUAAUUUUUUUUUAAGAUUGUGACCUGAUGUUGGACUAGGGACUUAAUAUAUUAGCCAUAUA